CGCACAUUGCGCCCAUUAGUAUUCUAGCGGGCAUGCCUGUUCGAGCGUCAUUUCAAACUUCAAGCCUUGCUUGGUGUUGAAGCCUGCGUACCUCGCGGCUUUCAAAAUUAUUGGCAGAUCAGCGACGAUCUAGACUCAGUAAUUUUUCUAGUCUGUGAUUUUUUGUAUGGUUUUGCCUCAAAGUCUAUUCAGCUCUGCUGGAAGAAUUUUUAACAGUUUGACCUCGGAUCAGGUAGGAAUACCCGCUGAACUUAA
rnacentral:misc_RNA from 1 species